ACUCAUACCUUGUAGGGAAAAUACCAUGUUGUAAAAAUGGUUUUCCCAGGGAGAGACUCAUCCAUUGCACUUUGGGUGUGCUGUUGACCCCUGUGAUUUUCCCAAAUGUGGGGAACUCAACUACAUAAUUUGUGUUAGUGGGGGCAUUAUGUUUGUGAUUUCUCUG
ensembl:snRNA U1 U1 spliceosomal RNA